rnacentral:rRNA from 1 species
GACGCACGCUGGCGGCGUGCCUAAUACAUUCAAGUUGACCGCAGUUGCGAACGGGUGAGUAACGCGUAGGUAACUGCCUCAUAGCUGGGGAUAACUAUUGUAAACGAUAGCUCACACCGCAUACUGUGAGAUGGACCUGCGUUGUAUUAUCUAGUUGGUGAGGUAAAGGCUCACCAGGGCGACGAUACAUAGCCGACCUGAGAGGUUGAUCGGCCACACUGGGACUUAUACGCGGCCCAGACCCCUACGGGAGGCAGCAGUAGGGAAUCUUCGGAAAGGGACGGAAGUCUGACCGAGCAACGCCGCGGGAGUGAAGAAGGUGUUCGGAUCGUAAAGCUCUGUUGUGAGAGAAGCGGUAAAUAACCAGAAAGGGACGGCUAACUACGUGCCAGCAGCCGCGGUAAUAC